CGAGNUGCCGGGGCUUCUUCUACGGUUACCGUCAUUAUCUUNCCGUUGAAAGAGCUUUACAACCCUAGGACCUUCAUCACUCACGCGGCAUGGCUGGAUCAGGCUUGCGCCCAUUGUCCAAUAUUCCCCACUGCUGCCU
rnacentral:rRNA from 1 species